GAUGAACGCUGGCGGCGUGCCUAAUACAUGCCAGUCGAGCGAACGGACGAGAAGCUUGCUUUUCUGAUGUUAGCGGCGGACGGGUGAGUAACACGUGGAUAACCUACCUAUAAGACUGGGAUAACUUCGGGAAACCGGAGCUAAUACCGGAUAAUAUUUUGAACCGCAUGGUUCAAAAGUGUAAGACGGUCUUGCUGUCACUUAUAGAUGGAUCCGCGCUGCAUUAGCUAGUUGGUAAGGUAACGGCUUACCAAGGCAACGAUGCAUAGCCGACCUGAGAGGGUGAUCGGCCACACUGGAACUGAGACACGGUCCAGACUCCUACGGGAGGCAGCAGUAGGGAAUCUUCCGCAAUGGGCGAAAGCCUGACGGAGCAACGCCGCGUGAGUGAUGAAGGUCUUCGGAUCGUAAAACUCUGUUAUUAGGGAAGAACAUAUGUGUAAGUAACUGUGCACAUCUUGACGGUACCUAAUCAGAAAGCCACGGCUAACUACGUG
rnacentral:rRNA from 1 species